GAUGAAGAAAGCAGCGAAAUGCGAUAAGUAAUGUGAAUUGCAGAAUUCAGUGAAUCAUCGAAUCUUUGAACGCACCUUGCACCCUUUGGCAUUCUGAAGGGUAUGCUCGUUUGAGUGUCAUUGUACUCUCACACUCCCGAUCUUUGCAUUGGGAGCAGUGGACUUGGGUUUGCUGCUUCACCGUCGCUUACCUCAAAUAGGUUAGUGCAACUCUUGGUUGGACAUAGUACGGCGUGAUAAGUGUUCUUCGCCGGUGCCUCGCAAAGAGGGUGGCCGAUCGGGAUGUUGUGCUCCAAACCGUCUUCGGACAAUCUCUGACGACUUGACCUCAAAUCGAGUAAGACUACCCGCUGAACUUAAGCAUAUCAAUAAGCGGAGGA
rnacentral:misc_RNA from 1 species